rnacentral:rRNA from 1 species
GACGAACGCUGGCGGCGUGCUUAACACAUGCAAGUCGAACGGUGAACCGGGCUUCGGCCCGGGGAUCAGUGGCGAACGGGUGCGUAACACGUGGGCAACCUGCCCCAGACACUGGGAUAACCCCGGGAAACCGGGGCUAAUACCGGAUACUCCGGCCGGACCGCAUGAUCCGGUCGGGAAAGCUCCGACGGUCUGGGAUGGGCCCGCGGCCUAUCAGCUUGUUGGCGGGGUGACGGCCCACCAAGGCGACGACGGGUAGCUGGUCUGAGAGGACGACCAGCACCAAUGGGACUGGGCCACGGCCCAGACUCCUACGGGAGGCAGCAGUGGGGAACCUUGCGCAAUGGGCGAGGGCCUGACGCAGCGACGCCGCGUGGGGGAUGAAGGCCCUCGGGUUGUAAACCCCUUUCGGCAGGGACGAAGCGAUCGUGACGGUACCUGCAGAAGAAGCUCCGGCUAACUACGUGCCAGCCGCCGCGGUAAGAC